rnacentral:rRNA from 1 species
GUUUAUCAAAAACAUUGGUAAAUGAACCAAAUACUUAGUACAUCCUGCCCAGUGAAACUUCAACGGCCGCGGUAUCCUAACCGUGCAAAGGUAGCAUAAUCAUUUGUCUAUUAAUUAUAGUCUAGAAUGAAUGGGCUAACGAAACUUUUACUGUCUCUAAUAACUCCCUAAAAAUUAAUAUAUAGAUGAAGAAGUCUAUAUCCACAUAUAGGACAAGAAGACCCUAUAGAGCUUUAUCUUUUCACUUUCUCAAAAAGCACUAAAGAUUCGGUUGGGGCGACCUGAAUAUAAAUAUCAAUUCAUUCUACCUGAUCUACAAAUCUUCUAUAUGAUCCAAGCAGUGACCACCGGACCAAGCUACCUUAGGGAUAACAGGCUAAUUUUCUUUAUGAGUUCACAUCGACAAGAAAGAUUGGCACCUCGAUGUUGGCUUAAAGUUUCCUAGUAGUGCAAAAGCUACAAAGGUGGGUUUGUUCAACCCAUAAAACUCUACGUGAUCUGAGUUCA